rnacentral:pre_miRNA from 1 species
AGCAAACUCUGAGUUUCCGUCUUAUAUAAAAUUUUUUUAUAAUUUGUAUUUUUAUUGUUGUUAGAUGAUAAAACAUGAUUAAUAUUUUAUGCAUAACUUGUCUUUUUAAUUUUUUUUAUAUUUUUUCAAAUAAGACGGACGGUCAAACGUUGAGCACGGAAAUCAGGG